ACACUGAAUUUGAGCAGAAACCAUAAGGAUACUCAAAGGACCUGUGACUCUCAGGAAAUGCAUCAAAUGAGAGGGACAGAUGAAACAGUUUCAAGACAAUGGCAGGAAAAACAUGCUGAAGAUUGAAACAAACCUUGGCUGGAAAUAUUUGAAGGUAUCUAGCCAGUCCACAAUGAAAGCUUCGUUGCACCCCAUGAGUCUUCUGGCAGAAAUGAUGGCGCCUGUAUUCUUUGGUUUCCCUAAACAUCACACCCUGCCUGUUUAUACGAGGCUCUUCAAUUAAGUCUGCACCCAAAGAUUCAAUAAGAGAGGGGAUCCUGCCAGUCCAAAGUGAACUCCUGAUGGACAUUGAAGUACUCCUGCAGAGCUUGUAUCUUCGACACCGUGUGCAUUAGAAACUCCACUGAGUCCUUUCCUUCACCAAGGCAGGACCCAGUGACUCAUUACUGUUGAUAGGUCAGGGGCAGGUAAUAUUUUGUUUCAUGUUUAUUCAUUCCUCCAUGGAUUACCAGCCAUAUAUAUGGACACAUGCUGUAUUCUCAAGAUCUAUGCUGUUUUGUAGGAAUAGAGAAAAUGAUAUGUUUAGUCUGUUUUCAAAUGGUAUGUCAAAUUUUCUCAUUGUUUAUCAGUAAUAUUCACUACCUUGGUUAUAUAUGAGCAUCUUUAGAUUUUUCUAUAUUUAGCGGUUGCAAAUGUAAAAUGUACGGUAAACCAUUUAUGUUCCUCAUAGUGUACUGUAUUUUUAGCGGUAAAAUACCGGCAGCUGUGGUUGCCAGGAAUUUACCGUAAAAUGUAUCUGGUCAAAAUAAAAUGCUGUAAUUUGUUAUACAAUUUCACUGUGUUUUUUACUGUCAAAGGUUUUAAUAAGGUUUAACAUAUUUCUGUUAUUUUUACAGUUAUUUACAAUAAUAGGGUCUAUCCUAUUACUGUUAAAUUAACAACAAAUUACUGUAAAUAUUAUUAUAUUAUAACUUUUUUUUUACUGCAAAUAUCCGUAAAAAGCUAUGGAAAGUUGCAUUUUUUACAUUAAAUUGCUGUAUAAUUGACAAAUAUAUUUGUUUUUUUCUAUCAUGAUUUUGGUAAAAUAAUACGUUGUCUACCUUAAAAUUUAGGGUUACAAAACCAGUAUACCGUAUUGUCUUUACAGAUCCCACAUUUUUUUCACGGUAUAUUCCUGGCUACCACAGCUGCCGGUAUUUUACCGUAAAUUUGACAGUUUUUUUUUUACAGUGCAUGUAGGGCAAUGUAAGGAGCUCUGUGAUUGGUUAGGAAAGGACAGACUGGCUACCUCGAUUUUUCUUCACUGCACAUCGAUCCAUAGCUUUGCUCUGCAAAGGCUAACAAUAGACUUUUGCUUUACAAAGACAUUUAGCCUCGGUAUUCACUCUCUUAACCCUGUAAGACCCAACCCAUCAAAAAAUAGCCAGAAAAUUCUGAAUUUUUGGAACUGAGAUGUUUAUUAACCCUUAUAACAAAAUCCACAAAAAAUGUUUUGCUAUAACAUGUUGUGUAUGAUAUAUUGUUAUUAUAUAUUUAUUAUAGAAUUUUUUGUAUCGCAUUUGAUACAUUGGACAUUUUUGGCAACUUUUUUUUUAACAACAAUGUUAUUUUUAGACAAAAAAAAAGUUUUGUCCAUAACAUUUUGAAAUGAUGGCAAGUAUUGAUCAUGUUGAUGAGAUAGAGGUCUAUCAAACUCAUGUAUCAAAUAUGAUACAAUGGGCAUUAAAGGGUUAAAAUGCCACUGGACACUGGAGUGAAAUGGAGCCCUGAUCCUCAGAGUUUUAUUGUUCCUAAUAUUUCUUAUAGAUAGCACAGAUAGUGCCCCACUGCAAUAAUCA
rnacentral:lncRNA from 1 species